UGUUGGAAGUUUUAUUCAGUAUAUGUGACCACUGUGGUAUUUUCAAGUGAAAAUCUUGCACAUCCAAUCCAUCCUUGCUUUCCAGCUUCAACUUGACAACGGUUCCCUUCACAAUUCCGAAUUAUUUUUUUGUUGUUUUUCAGCAUGUGGAGU